rnacentral:tRNA from 1 species
GGGUCUGUAGCUCAGCUGGUUAGAGCACUGUGUUGAUAACGCAGGGGUCGUUCGAAGCAACUAGACCCACCA